AAGGCAAUAUUUCUACAGUAUGGAAUCACAGGGGAAUGCGUCAGUGGGUAAGAGAACCAUCCUUGCCCCACCCCAGAUGUACACAUUCAUACCAGAGAUUUCCUUCCAGAUAGUUAACCAAUCUGCCCUGCACUCAUGGGGUGCAGGAAACCCCAGAACUUCUCAUAACUAUCACAGUUCAUGAAGAAUCCAAGAGAACCACCUGACCCACCACUUACUCUGAGACACCAGGACAGUCCCACCCUGCCGCCACAGACUUGAGACCUCCAGCUAACAGGAUCCCCACUUUCUCACCUUCUGCCUGGAGAGCCAGACUGGCAGACAGGAUGCCACUGCUGAAAGCAGUUAUCUUCUCCUCCUUCUGGGCUUUUGGACUUGGGAAGUUGGAGCAACCUAAAAUAUCUGUUUCUGCAGCAACAGAUAAGAGUGCUUACAUAUCUUGUAAAGCAGCCAUCCAAGGCUUUGACGGUCUACCCAUACACUGGUACCGGCAGAAACCAAACCAAGGUUUAGAACACAUAAAAUAUGUCACCUCGACAACCUCUUCUCGAGAUAGGAAGUCCAGCAAAAUUGAGGCAAGUAAAGAUUCUCAAACUUCCACUUCAACCUUGACGAUAAAUUCCUUAAAGAAAGAAGAUGAGGCCAUAUACUACUGUGCCUACUGGAUGGGUACACACAGUGUUAGGGUUGUCAAGAUAACCUACACAAGAACCAUCUCCAGGUCUGUGCCCACCCACAUCCUUCUCAGUAUGGGCAACCACAGCACCCAGCCUGAGCCUGCCUGCCUUGCAGCACUUCCGCAAUUGUGCAGGAAGACAUCUUGGAUUACACUCUCUCGGUGUGCCCCACAUGAUAUCAUCAAUUAUGGCCCAAAUUAA